AUGUUGGCUGAAAUUUGUCCUUGCCCCUCCCCAGGCUCCUGCACAAAACCUACAGUUCAUAAUGGAGCUACUGUACUGGCUGUGGAAGGAGGAGAUUCUGAAGAUAGGGAGAUUCAGCUAUCGGUCUUUGAAAUUUCCUGUGGUCUGUUCAUUCUAGAUGCAAAGGACAUGGAAAAAUCAAGUGCUCAAGUGGUUUAAAUAUGUUUGGAUGUUCCUAUUUAUAGACUACAGCAUUUUUCCAAUUAAAAUCCUCAGUUGUCAUGCAGAAGAAG
rnacentral:lncRNA from 1 species